UGGCGGACGGGUGAGUAAUGUCUGGGAAACUGCCCGAUGGAGGGGGGGUAACUACUGGAAACGGUAGCUAAUACCGCAUAACGUCGCAAGACCAAAGUGGGGGACCUUCGGGCCUCACACCAUCGGAUGUGCCCAGAUGGGAUUAGCUAGUAGGUGGGGUAACGGCUCACCUAGGCGACGAUCCCUAGCUGGUCUGAGAGGAUGACCAGCCACACUGGAACUGAGACACGGUCCAG
rnacentral:rRNA from 1 species